rnacentral:lncRNA from 1 species
AUGAGCAGGUCCGCACCCGGGAUCCAAACCCAUGAACAUGGGAUGCAGAAUCCGAGUAUGUGGAACUUUAACCCCUUGGCCAUGGGGCCAGCCCUCCCAGUUUUAGUUUUUAAGCACAUUCGUCCCAGUGCCGAAGUGAACAGAAAGAACAAUGGUUUCUACAUUAUUUCACGAGGAGGAAUUGGACGUCCUCUCAAGUACGUCUUCUUAAAGGCACAUUGCAGAGCUGAGAGCCUGAAACCACUCAACUCCCAGAUGGAACCAAGAAAUCUUGUUGCUCCAUUGUUGCUGGUUGCCCUAGUGGAUGCCUGAGGACAAUGAGAACAUGCUAAUGAGGGCAGAGCUGAGUGAAUACCAGAGAAACAGAGCCAAAGCCCGUGCCUGGAGUGUGGACAUCCUGUUACAGGAAAUAAUAUUUUUCCUUAUUGUUUAAAACGUUUUGAGUCAAUUGUCUGUAUCUUUUAGCCCAAAGCAUUCUAACUAAUUUAGCUCUCAGUAAAUAUUUGUUAAACAAUUUGUUAAAUGAAUGGAUAAGGGUAAAAGUGAGUGGGAAGAAAGCCAGGGAGGCUGGGAGGAGAGGAGAGGGGUUGGUCAGUGGAGAACUCCGAUUUCUUGAGCCAGGAGUGGAUUCCUGGACGGGGCCCCUGGCCAACGAGCUGCUGUGAAUGUUGCCCUGGCAGGAGACUGUGAGGGGCCUAUCUAAGUCCCCAGGAGCUGCAUUGGGAGAGUGCUCAUCAGAGUCCAUGUGAGUGGGAACUGAACACUGCCUGCACCCCAGGCUCGCUCCAGGGUUCAGUCUGCAGGAGCAUGAUGCCGUUCACUUUCAUUUGUUAAUUUAUUUACUAGAACUGCGGAUCCUGUGAGAUCGAGUACUUUAUCUACUUUGUUUAUUCCUGAAUCCUCUCAAUGCCUAGAAGAGGGUCUGCCACAAGGUAGGAACUCAGCACCUAUUUCUUUUUUUUAGUAAUAGAUUUACUGAGAUAUAAUUCAAAUACCAUCAACUUUACCCUUUUUUUUUUUUUUGAGGAAGUUUAGCCCUGAGCUAACUGCUGCCAAUCCUCCUCUUUUUGCUGAGGAAGAUUGGCCCUGAGCUACCAUCCAUGCCCAUCUUCCUCUACUUUUUAUAUGUGGGACACCUACCACAGCAUGGUGUGCCAAGUGCCAUGUACACACCCAGUAUCCGAACCGGUGAACCCCGGGCCGGCGAAGCAGAAUGUGCGCACUUAACCACUGCGCCACCGGGCCAGCCCCAACUUUACCCUUUUAAAAUGUAGAGUUCACUAGUUUUUAGUAUAUUCACAGAGUUGUGCAACUAUCACCACUACCUAAUUUCAGAACAUUUUCAUCAUGCCAAAAAGAAACUCGUUAGCAGUCACUCCCCAUUUCCUCCCACCACCGGCUCCUGGAACCUAUGAGUCUACUUUUUUUCUUUUUUAGGAAAGGAACAUCCUUAUCUCCAAAGAGAAAGGGACCGAGAGAAGAAUCCUAACAAACAGGCCAUGCUAAGUUCCCCCAUUUUACCGCAAUGACCUCAUACUCCUUAACCUAUCCUGUUCCUCCAUGGCUGUCCAUCCAUCGUCAGACCUAGCGCUAAAGUCCACAGGUCUAACUGUUUCUUUGGGUCUUCAUUUCCUUAUGAAGGCUUUUGUGUUAUGUAAAAUUAAUUAAAUAAAUUUGUAUGCCUUUCUCCUGUUAAUCUGUCU